rnacentral:rRNA from 1 species
CCUACGGGGGGCUGCAGUGGGGAAUAUUGGACAAUGGGGGGAACCCUGAUCCAGCCAUGCCGCGUGUGUGAAGAAGGCCCUCGGGUUGUAAAGUACUUUCAGUGAGGAAGAACGCCUGGUGGUUAAUACCCAUCAGGAAAGACAUCACUCACAGAAGAAGCACCGGCUAACUCCGUGCCAGCAGCCGCGGUAAUACGGAGGGUGCGAGCGUUAAUCGGAAUUACUGGGCGUAAAGCGCGCGUAGGUGGCUUGAUAAGCCGGUUGUGAAAGCCCCGGGCUCAACCUGGGAACGGCAUCCGGAACUGUCAAGCUAGAGUGCAGGAGAGGAAGGUAGAAUUCCCGGUGUAGCGGUGAAAUGCGUAGAGAUCGGGAGGAAUACCAGUGGCGAAGGCGGCCUUCUGGACUGACACUGACACUGAGGUGCGAAAGCGUGGGUAGCAAACAGGAUUAGAUACCCCUGUAGUC